rnacentral:rRNA from 1 species
UUUGGCCUACGCGAGACAGCAGUGGGGAAUAUUGCACAAUGGGCGAAAGCCUGAUGCAGCAACGCCGCGUGAAGGAAGAAGGGUUUCGGCUCGUAAACUUCUAUCAACAGGGACGAAAGAAAUGACGGUACCUGAAUAAGAAGCCCCGGCUAACUACGUGCCAGCAGCCGCGGUAAUACGUAGGGGGCAAGCGUUAUCCGGAAUUACUGGGUGGAAAGGGUGAGGAGGCGGCAUGGGAAGCCAGAUGAGAAAGCCUAG